AGUUUGAUCAUGGCUCAGAUUGAACGCUGGCGGCAUGCCUUACACAUGCAAGUCGAACGGCAGCACGGGAGCUUGCUCCUGGUGGCGAGUGGCGAACGGGUGAGUAAUACAUCGGAACGUACCCUGAAGUGGGGGAUAACGUAGCGAAAGUUACGCUAAUACCGCAUAUUCUGUGAGCAGGGAAGAGGGGGAUCGCAAGACCUCUUGCUUUAGGAGCGGCCGAUGUCGGAUUAGCUAGUUGGUGAGGUAAAGGCUCACCAAGGCGACGAUCCGUAGCGGGGUCUGAGAGGAUGAUCCGCCACACUGGGACUGAGACACGGCCCAGACUCCUACGGGAGGCAGCAGUGGGGAAUUUUGGACAAUGGGCGCAAGCCUGAUCCAGCCAUGCCGCGUGAGUGAAGAAGGCCUUCGGGUUGUAAAGCUCUUUCGGUGGGGAAGAAAUUGCUUCGGUUAAUACCUGGAGUAGAUGACGGUACCCGCAUAAGAAGCACCGGCUAACUACGUG
rnacentral:rRNA from 1 species